rnacentral:rRNA from 1 species
GACGAACGCUGGCGGCGUGCCUAAUACAUGCAAGUAGAACGCUGAAGAGAGGAGCUUGCUCUUCUUGGAUGAGUUGCGAACGGGUGAGUAACGCGUAGGUAACCUGCCUUGUAGCGGGGGAUAACUAUUGGAAACGAUAGCUAAUACCGCAUAACAAUGGAUGACACAUGUCAUUUAUUUGAAAGGGGCAAUUGCUCCACUACAAGAUGGACCUGCGUUGUAUUAGCUAGUAGGUGAGGUAAUGGCUCACCUAGGCGACGAUACAUAGCCGACCUGAGAGGGUGAUCGGCCACACUGGGACUGGGACACGGCCCAGACUCCUACGGGAGGCAGCAGUAGGGAAUCUUCGGCAAUGGGGGCAACCCUGACCGAGCAACGCCGCGUGAGUGAAGAAGGUUUUCGGAUCGUAAAGCUCUGUUGUAAGUCAAGAACGGGUGUGAGAGUGGAAAGUUCACACUGUGACGGUAGCUUACCAGAAAGGGACGGCUAACUACGUG